rnacentral:rRNA from 1 species
CGGAGGGUGCAAGCGUUAUCCGGAUUCACUGGGUUUAAGGGGGCGCAGGCGGGACUGUAAGUCAGUGGUGAAAUACCUGAGCUUAACUCGGGAACUGCCAUUGAUACUAUAGUCCUUGAAUGACGUUGAGGUUUGCGGAAUGGGUCAUGUAGCGGUGAAAUGCAUAGAUAUGACCCGGAACACCGAUUGCGAAGGCAGCAGGCUAAACGUAAAUUGACGCUGAGGCCCGAAAGCGUGGGGAUCAAACAGGAUUAGAUACCCUGGUAGUCCACGCCCUAAACUAUGAUUACUCGACAUUUGUGAUACACAAUAAGUGUCUGAGCGAAAGCAUUAAGUAAUCCACCUGGGAAGUACGUCCGCAAGGAUG